UGAAUACGAGAUGCUACGGCAUCGAAGCAGUCUAUGUCAUACUUCCAAGAAAAGCUUGCACUGUCAUAAACAAAUAAUGCCUGUACCAUAACCGACACAGGUGGGUAGGUAGAGUAUACUAAGGGGCGCGAGAUAACUCUCUCUAAGGAACUCGGCAAAAUGACUCCGUAACUUCGGGAGAAGGAGUGCCUUAUUUUAUAAGGUUGCAAUAACAAGAUCCAAGCAACUGUUUACCAAAAACACAGGUCUCCGCUAAGUCGUAAGACGAUGUAUGGGGGCUGACGCCCCAGUGCCAGAAGGUUAAAGAAGUUGGUUAGCAUUAGCGAAGCUGAUAACUGAAGCCCUGGUGAACGGCGGCCGUAACAAUAACGGUCCUAAGGUAGCGAAAUUCCUUGUCGGGUAAGUUCCGACCCGCACGAAAGGCGUAAUGAUUUGGAUACUGUCUCGGAGAGGGGCUCGGUGAAAUAGACUUGUCUGUGAAGAUGCGGACUACCUGCACCAGGACAGAAAGACCCUAUGAAGCUUUACUGUAACUUGAGAUUGAAAUUGGACUUUAUUUGCGCAGUAUAGGUGGGAGACGUUGAAAAUAUUCUUGCGGGAAUAUUGGAGUCAUCAGUGAGAUACCACUCUUAUAAUGUUAGAUUUCUAACUUUGUAUCAUUAUCUGGUCAAAGAACAGUCUCAGGCGGGCAGUUUGACUGGGGCGGUCGCCUCCCAAACGGUAACGGAGGCGCACGAAGGUUUCCUCUGAACGUGUAGAAAUCGUAUCUAGAGUGUAAAGGCAUAAGGAAGCUUGACUGUGAGACCUACAAGUCGAGCAGGGACGAAAGUCGGUCUUAGUGAUCUGACGGUGCUGAGUGGAAAGGCCGUCACUCAACGGAUAAAAGUUACUCUUAGGAUAACAGGCUGAUCUCCCCCAAGAGUUCACAUCGACGGGGAGGUUUGGCACCUCGAUGUCGGCUCAUCGCAUCCUGGGGCGGUAGUACGUCCCAAGGGUUGGGCUGUUCGCCCAUGAAAGCGGUACGCGAGCUGGGUUCAGAACGUCGUGAGACAGUUCGGUCCAUAUCCGGUGUAGGCGUUAGAAUAUUGAGAGGAGCCUUCUUUAGUACGAGAGGACCGAGAAGGACAUACCUCUGGUGUACCAGUUAUCGUGCCAACGGUAAACGCUGGGUAGCUAUGUAUGGAGAGGAUAACCGCUGAAAGCAUCUAAGUGGGAAGCCCACCUCAAGAUAAGUAUUC
rnacentral:rRNA from 1 species